CCAGGGGCUGCUAUCAGCAUGAAAAGAAGAAUCUACCUGCCCACCAGAGUAUGAGCGACCCAACCCAGCUGGACUGCAGGACUGAACAGCCUACCCCAGAACUUCAUGGAGUCUAGUGCUCCGAGCAGGAAUUCCAGAGCCACCCUCAUGCCUGACAGUCAGUCACCUUACCCAAUGCUGCCCCCUCCACCCCAAACACAUGGAACUCAACCCAGGACCCUUGUCAGAGAUCAAAUUCAAGGACCUUAAUCUAAAACAUGACACCUCAAGACUGUUAGAAGAAGAAGUGGGGCAUGGGCUUGAAUGUAUGGCCACUAGCACAGACACUAAGACCCAACAAUUGACAAACUGGACCACAGGAACCUAACCAGCAUCAAUAUAGCAAAAGCUGCCAUCAUUCAAGUGGGGAGGCAGUCUACAGAAUGGCAGGAAGAUCACCAACUACACAUCUGAUAGAGGUCCUUGGAGUUCAUCAUGGAAGAAAAUGAAGUUCGUUGCACUCUCACAUUAUUAGGUGUACACGAAGAAAAACAAUAAACAGGACACCUUGGUGAUCAGUGUGCUUCAUUGAUCAUGGUGGAGAAAAGAGUCGAGAAAGAUACAAAUCAGGCAAACAUUCUGCUGCCCAGCUGAUGAUGAAGAAACUAACCAGUAAAAUCUUCCAGUAAAGAAAAGCACCCACAUUUCAGGGCUAAGUCUCUGUGACCGGGAGAGGUGGGUUGGUUCCGAAGAGAGAGAGCCAGGGGCUGCUCCUGCUUCCUCUGUGCAGACAGGGAACUGUGAUGAAAGUACGUCGCUGGAGCCUUGAUAACCAUGCUGCAUUAUUUCUGCAGCAAGUGGAUGCUCUGCUUUGAUUUCUAGUGGAUGCAAAUUCUAUCCAGGAGGAAUCUGUGAAGUCGAUGGGCAGCGGGGUAUAUUUCUAUCUCAAACCCAUGAAGCAAAAUACUGGGCUAAAUCUGGGAACUAAUGUGACUUUCUACGUUUAAUUUGGGUUUGCCCUUUUGGUUUCGUAUUACUGUAUCACAACAGAAUAGAUUUAGUAGACAAUAAAACAUAAAAGA